rnacentral:lncRNA from 1 species
UAAGUAUUAUCACAAAAGGAUUUGUCAGAUCACCUGACAUUUUAGUGUCUUGGGUAGCAGUGAUAUAUUGCUAGAUACUGCUUACUGUUUAUUAUGUUAAAUACAUGAUUUAAUAUAAUUACCAAUAUCACGAGAACCUACAGGGUCACAGACAUAAGGAAGGAUUGAUGAGAGAUAGAGUAAAUAAAGAACACCGUAAGAUG